GUGUGUGUGUGUGUGUGUGUGUGUGUGUGUGUGUGUGUGUGUGUGUUUGUAUUCCCUAAUAAUUGUAGACGUCAACUAUGUUACACAUGUCGCCGUUUCUACACAAUACGGCUGCUGCUGAUGUAGAGUGAAUUGAGGCAGUGCAUAGGACAUCGCCAGAGCUAAACUACAAGCGAACCACAGCACGAGAUUACGACAUUUACCGUGCUGACACGUAGGCGUACUUUUGGAUCUAGAGCCGUAAACAUUUUCUCUUCGUGUUUCUUGUUUGUUUCCCAGCGCGGAAGCAUGUCAUAUUCUUUACUAUCUGACCUUAUUCCCAUUAUUAAUUUACAGCGACAUAAUAAGCUAUUUAAAUGUGCAUGAAUGAACAUCUACGGGCACAGUUAGUAUUUCUUCGAGAUAUAGCAUGCAGGGAUACAAUGCGGAUUGUUAUCAUGUUGUCGCUUAUUAUGCGUGAGACGAAAUUACAGCGUUCCAAGAUGACAAUGAUAGUACUCACCGAAAAUUUUAUUAUGCUCAUAAAGUGUUAGCGUAUAAUUAUAAGACCCACCUGCCCCGAAAUGUGCUCACUUGCCUAGGCGUUUGUUUUUGACAAGCCAUUCGUCGAUAAGAGGUUGCAUGCGUGCGCGUUGGAUGAAUUGCUACACAGCUGUUGUACCGAAAGAAAGCGAUUAAAAUUAUCGCGCAUCAGCAAAUACCAUGUGUGACCUUUGCGAUUAUGAUGGCAUUGCUGUAUUUCUCUAUCACCAAAGGAAUCUCUUCAUCGAACUACGGAGUGGAGUAUGGGCCUUUAAAUAGAUACCAUCCUCUGCGUGAAUCUCCGUUCAACAACAACCCAACUCAUCUUGGCUAUAAAUCGAGCCUCGGUCAUCGUUCGAGGCCGGCACUUCCGUUUUCAAAG